CAUCGGUUACUCGACUGGUUUGAAACCCAGGCUGAUCAUUAUGCUACUUUAUUGUUCCAUUGCUCUCUAUAUAUUGCUUCUCACUUCUCUACAUUGCUGCUUGCUCGAGUCUGUUAUUGUUGCUCACUUCUCUUCUACUGAUGCUCUCUCCCUUGCACACUAUUGCUCAUCACUUUGCAUAUUAUAACUCACUACUGCCCU
rnacentral:lncRNA from 1 species